AUCUGCCACUCUUUCUCAGUUUCUCCGUCUCUCGCCGGCGAUCGAUUCGCCGAAAAGCCCCACUACCCAGGGUAAAGCACAGAGGCUUCUUCACCGAACCAAGGCUCUAUUGUGAAACUGGUCUGAUCUCCCUUCACAAACACCGCGUGGUUUAUAGACUUGAAAACAUCGAUGGGAACUGGAGAGUACGCAAAAAGAACAUAUCUUUUAAUUCAGCAAAUGAAAAAAAAUGGAUUUGCUCUUCUGAUAUGUGAGUCUUCUCAAGAGACUUGCCGAUCUUUUUCUCCCACAAGGUGACCAUUUCGUUCAUCGAUAAAAUGUUGUUAGGAGGACUAAUGUAGAGGGUUUUGUUCAGAGUCCUUAGAUCAUCCACCGCCUUGAUCAUGAGGAACAUUUUUGUCGCCAAAGAUGAUGGCCUUGUCUCUAGUAUGAGAAAUGAGACCAGACUCGAACUGAAGUAACGUACGCAAGUAAAAACCGGCAGAGCAAUUGCUAACAACGUAAGUGUAUGGUAUUCCUUCAGCUUCAAUGGCUCUCCUGAUCUGUACCUUCCCUGCAAAUAAUGAUUUUGCCGGCUCAACCGCACUGGUCCUCUCAACGUCUAUCCCAAACUCAGCCGGCAAGAAUCUCUGCAAAGCAAAAACUAUAAAUCUAGUUUGAAUCAAAUACCAACCUUGACGUUACCAGCUUCUUUAAUGGCGGAAAUGAUCUUGGUUUG
rnacentral:lncRNA from 1 species